rnacentral:rRNA from 1 species
UACGUAGGGGGCAAGCGUUGUCCGGAUUUACUGGGCGUAAAGCGCCUGUAGGCGGCCUGUCAAGUCCGGCCUGAAAGCCCCCCGCUCAACGGGGGAGGGUGGCUGGAAACUGGCAGGCUUGAGGGCGAGAGAGGAGGGUGGAAUUCCUGGUGUAGCGGUGAAAUGCGUAGAUAUCUGGAGGAACACCGGUGGCGAAGGCGGCGUUCUGGACUGCAACUGACACUGAGGAACGAAAGCCAGGGGAGCAAACGGG